rnacentral:sRNA from 1 species
AUGUACCCCUCUUACACUGCGGUUCUGAGUGCGCCGUCCACACCCGCCUGGCGACUGCUCGCUACGUUUUAUUAGCC